UCCUGGGCCUGGGACCGAGCGGAGCCGAGCGGGAAUUGCUUUCCCGGUUCGGUCCGCUGCCGCUGUGAGGGCCGAGCGGAAACCCGUAAACCUUUUAUGUGAAGAGACUGCGGCCUCCUGGUCAGCAGUCACCGAGAGAGGGACCCCUGGACCGCCUAGGUGGUGGUGUCUGCCGCAGGCCAUAGGGAUCCAGCCCACUCAGGCAGUCCCAUGGGGACGCGGCCUUCCCACCCGAGCGGAAAGGCGCUUCCCGCCUGCCCUGCGGUAAUCCCGGAAGCCCUCAGCUGUUAAGCCAAAAUUUCUGUUGCUUUGGCUACUGAUGGAAACCUGUUGACGUGCGAGCCAGAGAAGUGUUAUGAAGGAAGAAGAGGCAUAAGAAGGCUCCCUCUUGAGAUAAUCUGAAGAAUUGACCAGAUUGAAAACCUUUUAAAAUCUAAAUCCCUGAUUUGUUGAUAAAUCUUACUGUUCAACCUAUAGGUUCCCUUUGGAAAUUGGUUUUGAAAAGUGAAAAAUUCCAUUAUAAUGUUAAAAAGCCUCUACCAAUUUGUCCAUUUUGUAAGUUUUAAAAAUACUAAUAAUUAUAUUUCUUAACCUCAGGAUUUACAAAGUAAAGCAUUUAACCUCAA